rnacentral:rRNA from 1 species
CAAUAGCGUAUAUUAAAGUUGUUGCGGUAAAAAAGCUCGUAGUUGGAUUUCUGUUGAGAGCGACCGGUCCAUACCAUGUAUGCGUAUCUGGCUUGCUCUCGGCAUCCUCUCGAUAGACGUUACUGCGCUUGAUUGCGUGGUGCGGAUCUCGGGACUUUUACUUUGAGGAAAUUAGAGUGUUCACGGCAGGCUUUCGCCAGAAUACAUUAGCAUGGAAUAAUACUAUAGGAUCUUGGUUCUAUUUUGUUGGUUCCUAGAAUUGAGAUAAUGAUUAAUAGGGACAAUUGGGGGCAUUCGUAUCAACACGUCAGAGGUGGAAUUCUUGGAUUGUGUUGCGACGAACUACUGCGAAAGCAUUUGCCAAGGAUGUUUUCAUUGA